UGGGGAAUAUUGCGCAAUGGGGGAAAGCCUGACCCAGCAACGCCGCGUGAGGGAAGAAGGUUUUCGGAUUGUAAACCUCUGUCCUCAAGGAAGAAGCAAGUGACGGUACUUGAGGAGGAAGCCCCGGCUAACUACGUGCCAGCAGCCGCGGUAAUACGUAGGGGGCGAGCGUUGUCCGGAAUGACUGGGCGUAAAGGGCGCGUAGGCGGCCGUACAAGUCUCACGUGAAAGUCCUGCUUUCAAGGUGGGAAUUGCGUGGGAAACUGUAUGGCUUGAGUGCGGAAGAGGUAAGUGGAAUUCCCAGUGUAGCGGUGAAAUGCGUAGAGAUUGGGAGGAACACCAGUGGCGAAGGCGACUUACUGGGCCGUAACUGACACUGGGGCACGAAAGCGUGGGGAGCAAACA
rnacentral:rRNA from 1 species